rnacentral:rRNA from 1 species
CGGGCGGGUGAGUAAUGUCUGGGAAACUGCCCGAUGGAGGGGGAUAACUACUGGAAACGGUAGCUAAUACCGCAUAACGUCGCAAGACCAAAGAGGGGGACCUUCGGGCCUCUUGCCAUCGGAUGUGCCCAGAUGGGAUUAGCUAGUAGGUGGGGUAACGGCUCACCUAGGCGACGAUCCCUAGCUGGUCUGAGAGGAUGACCAGCCACACUGGAACUGAGACACGGUCCAG